rnacentral:rRNA from 1 species
GUCGACGGCAGCGCGGGGCAACCUGGCGGCGAGUGGCGAACGGGUGAGUAAUAUAUCGGAACGUGCCCUGGAGUGGGGGAUAACGCAGCGAAAGUUGCGCUAAUACCGCAUACGAUCUAAGGAUGAAAGCAGGGGACCGCAAGGCCUUGUGCUCCUGGAGCGGCCGAUAUCUGAUUAGCUAGUUGGUGGGGUAAAGGCCUACCAAGGCAUCGAUCAGUAGCUGGUCUGAGAGGACGACCAGCCACACUGGAACUGAGACACGGUCCAGACUCCUACGGGAGGCAGCAGUGGGGAAUUUUGGACAAUGGGCGAAAGCCUGAUCCAGCAAUGCCGCGUGAGUGAAGAAGGCCUUCGGGUUGUAAAGCUCUUUUGUCAGGGAAGAAACGGUGUGGGCUAAUAUCCUGCACUAAUGACGGUACCUGAAGAAUAAGCACCGGCUAACUACGUGCCAGCAGCCGCGGUAAUACGUAGGGUGCAAGCGUUAAUCGGAAUUACUGGGCGUAAAGCGUGCGCAGGCGGUUUUGUAAGUCUGUCGUGAAAUCCCCGGGCUCAACCUGGGAAUUGCGAUGGAGACUGCAAGGCUAGAAUCUGGCAGAGGGGGGUAGAAUUCCACGUGUAGCAGUGAAAUGCGUAGAGAUGUGGAGGAACACCGAUGGCGAAGGCAGCCCCCUGGGUCAAGAUUGACGCUCAUGCACGAAAGCGUGGGGAG